GUGCGGAUGCAGACCGGAUGUCUAUGCGUUAUUUGCACGCAAGAAGACAUUUUCAUCAAUUAUCAAUUAAUAUCACAUGCAGGAAGCAAGAAGAUCAAAUGCAAUCAAAAUCAACAAUAAUUGUUCGACAAGCCCCGACCUAGCCGUCAGAGAUUCAAAUACCAGGGAAACAGAAAUUACGCUUGAGUCUAAAACAGAAAUCAGUCUAUCACGUGUAUCUGAAUACAUACAAUAUGUAUGCAUGCAUAGGCUGGUAUACGAAGAAAUAAAUUGUAUAAUAUUCUAGGUCCGAAAAAAAAGGGUGCAACUUAGUGGAUGAUAUCUUCAAUGAAUUUGCAUUCUUUCAGCAACGUAAACAGGAGAUCAGGCAGUUUGCAAACUUUCCUCUAUACAAACGUACAUCCUGCAUGUGAAUUUGCCUAGCCCUAAAUAAUGAAGAUUCGUCACCGAUCAGCGGCAUCCAUCCACCGUGGCAAUCGUUGGGGUAGGUUCUGUCGGAAGCACAGUUGAUCAGGAGAACAGAACCAUAAGGAAUGUGAUGCAUGUUGCGGGAUGCUAUUUACAGCAUCUCUUGAAGGAGAAUCAACAGCCACAAAAAUGUCCCGCAGUAGUAACGGCGAUCGCUGGAUCCCAGUUCUGAUCAGGAAAGUAGGACUGUACGGGUUUAGGAGAAGAAUCAAUGUAUACCGACGUCAGGCGUCGAAUUUCGUAAAACUCCAAUUUUAUUCACAAAUUAGAUACAUCUAGUCCUUAAGUUGACUCAUUAGCAACAUAAGGUAGACACCUUGUGCUGCGGUCCAAAAAAAUAGCAGCAUCAGUAUCAAAAAAAAAAGAAAAUUGGAAUAGCAAAAUUGAUAUUUGGAGGCGCCGGGUAUCGAUCCCGGUACCUCUCGCAUGCUAAGCGAGCGCUCUACCAUCUGAGCUACGCCCCCUGAUGAUAUGAUAGUAUAAAUGGUUAUAUUUGUUUUUCAGAACUAUAUGAUCCACAAAUUCAAAAUAGAAAUAUUUACACUAUUCACAGAUUCAUCGUUAAAACUGUACUUAUUCAGCUAAUUUCAUUUAGCUUCAGCUAGGCCCAACGCGAUCGAUUCGGAUAAUGCUAUUGUUAACCAUCGCGAAUUUUGGAACUCAUUUGUGUUUGAUAAUCGUUCCGAAAUUAUGUAUUAUAUGCGGUAUUAAGCUUGCUUUUUGUGAUCUAUGUUGACAAUCAUCAUUGUUGUUUGCACUUUUGAUGAACAAUACACACAGAUCUGUAAUCGCACAAUUUUUACUGCUGGCCUUGCAAAUUGAUCCUGAACCGCUACCAGUUAGUCACGAUGUUCUUCUUCAGCUUCCAUGCAAUAUGCAAAAGUGAUAGAAUACGCCCGAAAUUUAAAUUCACGAAGUAAUUGUAACUCACCCUUGUAUGAAUCCUGCUGCACAGAUCGACCCCGUGCAUUUGCACGUUGAACUCAUAAAUUUUUUUUUUAUCCGUACAAAAAUUGAGAAAGUAUAGAACUGGCUGAUUCGAUAGCUCUUCAUAUGGAUAUGUAUGUAUAUAUUUUUAUU